AAAAGCUAACAAAUUCAGGUAAAUCCAACAACUGAACCAGCAUCAAUUUGGGUAGAGCCUCGUAUUCAACAUUUUCAUCCUCUGAAAGCAUCCCCUCCAGUCCAGAACAACUAAUGAUGUCCAACAAUUUUAAGUUGGAUAGUUGCUGAAUCAUGAAUCGGCUUGAGAAGACAUGCUUAAUCAUUGGGCAAUGAUUUAGUAUCAAUACCGUCAGAUUGGUAAAGCUGUUUGCAACUAGUGACGGUGGUGGUGGUAGAGAUCCCUCCAUCUGAUGAGUGCACUUCAAAUUCCUCAGAUGAAGCAAUUUAAAAAAUUUUAAAUUCCGAAAAGCAUCCAAAAUUUAAAACACAUAUAGAAACCAAACGAAACCAAGCAAAAGAAACACAAAAUUACCUUCUGCCAUGAGAAAGUCAAUAAGGUGCUAUUUC
rnacentral:lncRNA from 1 species